AGAGUUUGAUCCUGGCUCAGGAUGAACGCUAGCUACAGGCUUAACACAUGCAAGUCGAGGGGAAACGGCAUUUAGUGCUUGCACUGAAUGGACGUCGACCGGCGCACGGGUGAGUAACGCGUAUCCAACCUUCCCAUUACUGUGGGAUAACCUGCCGAAAGGCAGACUAAUACCUCAUAGUCUUCGAUGACGGCAUCAGAUUUGAAGUAAAGAUUUAUCGGUAAUGGAUGGGGAUGCGUCUGAUUAGCUUGUUGGCGGGGUAACGGCCCACCAAGGCAACGAUCAGUAGGGGUUCUGAGAGGAAGGUCCCCCACAUUGGAACUGAGACACGGUCCAAACUCCUACGGGAGGCAGCAGUGAGGAAUAUUGGUCAAUGGACGUAAGUCUGAACCAGCCAAGUAGCGUGCAGGAUGACGGCCCUAUGGGUUGUAAACUGCUUUUGUAUGGGGAUAAAGUCAAUCACGUGUGAUUGUUUGCAGGUACCAUACGAAUAAGGACCGGCUAAUUCCGUGCCAGCAGCCGCGGUAAUACGGAAGGUCCGGGCGUUAUCCGGAUUUAUUGGGUUUAAAGGGAGCGUAGGCCGGAGAUUAAGUGUGUUGUGAAAUGUAGACGCUCAACGUCUGACUUGCAGCGCAUACUGGUUUCCUUGAGUACGCACAACGUUGGCGGAAUUCGUCGUGUAGCGGUGAAAUGCUUAGAUAUGACGAAGAACUCCGAUUGCGAAGGCAGCUGACGGGAGCGCAACUGACGCUGAAGCUCGAAGGUGCGGGUAUCGAACAGGAUUAGAUACCCUGGUAGUCCGCACAGUAAACGAUGGAUGCCCGCUGUUGGUACCUGGUAUCAGCGGCUAAGCGAAAGCAUUAAGCAUCCCACCUGGGGAGUACGCCGGCAACGGUGAAACUCAAAGGAAUUGACGGGGGCCCG
rnacentral:rRNA from 1 species